rnacentral:rRNA from 1 species
UACGGAGGGUGCGAGCGUUGUCCGGAAUCACUGGGCGUAAAGGGCGCGUAGGUGGCCUGUGGAAGUCUGCGGUGAAAGCCCGGCGCUCAACGCCGGGUCGGCCGUGGAUACUCUCGGGCUCGAGCUUACUAGAGGCAGAUGGAAUUCCUGGUGUAGCGGUGAAAUGCGUAGAGAUCAGGAGGAACACCCAUGGCGAAGGCAGCUCCUCUGGUCGACCUCUGACGCUGAGACGCGAAAGCGUGGGGAGCGAACGGG